rnacentral:piRNA from 1 species
UAGAGGUGUCAGUGACGCUAUUGGCUGA